rnacentral:lncRNA from 1 species
GAGUCAGCUAGGCCCCUUCCUCCUCCAGUGCCUGUCUACCUAUGUUUGAUGCUUGGGGCUAGAAAGACUGACCUUGUAGCCCCUCACCUUCUCUCCCCAAUGCACUGGGCUGGUUCAGCAGCUGACCAAUGAGGGUCAUGCUUGCAUACUGGCCUUGGGUGAGUGGCUCAGGAACAGUUUGCAAGACCGUGUUGAAGCUACUUGUAACUAGACCAUUUUCCCAGCUUGACCAUGAGCUUCUUCAAGGCAUCUCUUCUCAGUCUCCACUGUAGCUCUGUGGGGAUGCUAACCCUGGCUUCCAAGGAUCUGAAGAGGAAGCUGCGGCUGUGACUGUCCCUUUUCGGUCUGUCUUCAUCCUGCCUGACUCACGGGUCUCCUGUCCUCCUGCAUAGCUUGCGGUGGUGAGGUGAUGGCAGCCAUGGACACAGGCCAGAGAGCUGACCCAAGCAAUCCUGGUGACAAGGAAGGGGACCUUCAAGGGCUGUGGCAGGAACUCUACCAGCUCCAGGCUAAGCAGAAGAAGCUCAAGAGAGAAGUCGAGAAGCACAAGCUUUUUGAAGACUAUCUGAUUAAGGUCCUUGAGAAAAUCCCCGAGGGCUGCACGGGAUGGGAGGAGCCGGAGGAGGUGCUGGUGGAGGCCACGGUGAAGCACUACGGGAAGCUCUUCACAGCCAGCCAGGACACGCAGAAGCGCCUCGAGGCCUUCUGCCAGAUGAUCCAGGCUGUCCACCGGAGCCUGGAGUCUCUGGAGGAGGACCACAGGGCUCUCAUAGCCUCAAGAUCCGGCUGUGUCAGCUGCAGAAGAAGUGCUACCGCAAGCAGGAGCAGUGGUGGCAGCUGAAGCACAGCAUCACUUACCAGAAGGACAUUGACUUUGACACACACACCAGCAGCAGCUAUAAUGAUCAGCUGCUCGGCUACAUGCAAAUGACCAUCACCAACAUGGCCCGGCAGUGCUGCCCCUCUGCCCACGGCGUGCCCAAGAGCAUGGAUCUCUUCUCCAAGCUCGAUCUGAUUAAGGGCGCUUGUGAGAGUUAAAGGAGAAGUAGGUCAGCCUUUGAUGAUGCUUUGGUACCUAGAAAGCAGCGUCCAGAGGCCAAAACACUGUCAGUGCAGAGGAUUAAGCUGGUGGCUCUCAGGUUUGAACACGCAUCAGGAGGCCCUGUAUCAAUGCAGAGUGUGGACCCACCUCCAGAGCUUCCAGGCCCUAGAAUCUGCAUUUCUAACAAGUCCCCAGAUGUGGCAGAUGCUGCUGGUCCUGGGGUUACAUUUUGAAAACCACUGCUUUAGAGUAAUGGCAAAUCCUACAUGCUGAAGCCAGGCACUGCUCCACUAGCACCACCUUCUACGCCCAGGGUGAAGUUCUGUGGCUUGUUGACUGUGCCUUCGAGGGCUCUAUGUCAUUCUGUCCCCUAUCACCUGCCUGCUGUGCACCUGUCGUGCUUGAUCUAGCUCAGACAUUUUGUCACACUCCUUGGGGAGGAGCGGGAUUGGAACAGUUGCUUGGCGUGGCAAUGGCCUGGCCACCAGUCGACAUUUGCAGCCAGCAUCUGGGUACCUUGGGAGCUCCCAGCCUCCCCUGGGCAGGGCUGGGGCCGUGAAUUGGACACGGCAUUGCGCUUAACAGCGCGGCUACCUCAGGCUGCUGGUUCUAUAUUAGCUGGAGAAAAACCUUCAAGGGCAUUUGGAGAAAAAAUAAAAAGCACUAGUUCAGGUACCUU